rnacentral:sRNA from 1 species
UCCUUGAGGCGGUGGACCUGUUGUAC